CAGCCGCCGCGGGAAUACGUAGGGUGCAAGCGUUAAUCGGAAUUACUGGGCGUAAAGCGUGCGUAGGCGGCUAAUUGAGUCGGAUGUGAAAUCCCCGAGCUUAACUUGGGAAUUGCAUUCGAUACUGGUUAGCUAGAGUGUGGGAGAGGAUGGUAGAAUUCCAGGUGUAGCGGUGAAAUGCGUAGAGAUCUGGAGGAAUACCGAUGGCGAAGGCAGCCAUCUGGCCUAACACUGACGCUGAGGUACGAAAGCAUGGGGAGCAAACAGGAUUAGAUACCCCGGUAGUCCCUGUCUCUUAUAC
rnacentral:rRNA from 1 species